rnacentral:rRNA from 1 species
AUGGCCUCCUCGAGCACAACUAACUCCACCCUCUCUGGCCAGAUCACCGAACGCCUUACCAGAACCAACUAUAUCCUCUGGCGUACCCAGAUCACACCGCAGCUUCGAGGGGCUGGUUUCUUCGGCUAUGUGGACGGGAGCAUGCCGGAGCCGGCCAAGGUCGUCGUCAGCAAGGACAAGGAUGGCAAGGAGGAGACCAUCCCCAACCCGAUUCACUCGGUUUGGAUCCGAGAGGAUCAGCAGGUGCUUGGUUACCUUUUGAAUAACCUCUCCAAAGAAGUGCUUGUGCAGGUGACUUCGAUCGCCCACGCACACGAACUCUGGACAGCAUUGGCGGGCAUGUUCUCGUCCACAUCGCUGUCUCGCGUCAACAACAUCCGCGCGUCACUCACGAACGCACAGAAAGGACAGCAGUCGGUGGCUUCCUACUUCGCAUACAUGCGGGGUUUCGCCGACGAACUCCUGCAGCAGGCAAGCCCCUGCAGGAUGAUGAGUUGA